UCCAUUUCCCUCUCCUCCUUCACUGUUACAUAAUGAAUUUACACCCAUCUUUCAUAAAAUGAGCUGACUUUCAACUGGUUAAUCACAGAAUAUACACCCUGUAAUUUCUAAACAUUUUUGCACACUACUUGAAACAUCAUAUUUUAUGUCAGUCCUGUCAUCAAUUAAAACUCUGACAUAAAUACAGCUUCUACUUUUAGACUUCUAGAGCCCAAAUUCUUACAGUCUUGCUUUUUAAAGAUUUACUUCCCAUUAUUUUGAAUGUCACUUAAGGUUGUAAAGAUGCAUUCAGUUGACUCUGUAUAUUGCAGUAUUUAAUUUCUGAAUGUUUUCCUGUUUUCAUUUUUUUAUAAAGCUUACAGCUAACUCAUAGGUGUGUUCCUUAAGAAAACAGCUGCUGUGGUACCUUUUCUCAUAUCACAUAAUAAUUUAAUUCUUAACAUAGUAUACUGAAAUCAGUGGUAAAAUAUAAUAAACAAGUGAGCCUCUGACCCAUGGAAGACCCCUUCUGGAAGACCUAUCUCUGGAAAGGCAGGAAUAGCUAAUAAUGAUUGUUGGUAAAAUACAAAGGUAAGAUCCUGGUUCUGUAGGUUGUUUAGAUUUUGUUUAGCUGGAGCUGAAGUGUCUGACCAGUCUGUUGUGUUUUUCUUACAGAAACUUAGGAGACUACUUAUUUUAUAUGGUUUCCUCUCAGGGGGCAGACUCCAUCAAAGCACCUCAUCAUGAAGGAUAGGCUAAACAAAAGCUCCUUCAUUUUGAGAGGCAUUUAACAUCGUGAUCAUGAACAAGAGACUCCACCCAUAAAUAUGCUACUUCUGUCUGGGAUGUAUGUGAUACCAAUCACAAGACAUAGUCUCUUCUGCCAUAGAGCUACUAAAGCAGAGAAAAAGUUUUGAAUGGACAAGAUCUUUCUUUUCUGACCUAACAUUCAAUUUAUUUACUGUUGUUUUAUUCAGGAUAACCCUUAUCAACAGUUCACAUUCCCAAGAAGAUGCAAGUAUUUCCUCUGCAGAUAUUAAAGUUCAUUAGAAUUGUCAGUAACAGAAAUGUCCUUCCUGCAAUUGAUGGAACCACAGCAAUGACUCUUGUGCAUGGUUUCGUACUAGGUUUAGUAAUCUAGAGUAUGAACAUAACAAUGUGCAAGCUGAUACAGGAUGCAAUAUUCACUUGAACGGUUAGGUACAAAAUUGUGCGGCUAGCCUGCACUGAGCUCCAUGCUAAGCCAACAGGAGAGAUAAUGACCA